CCUACGGGAGGCAGCAGUGAGGAAUAUUGGUCAAUGGGCUUACGCCUGAACCAACCAAGUCGCGUGAGGGAAGACUGCCCUAUGGGUUGUAAACCUCUUUUGUCAGGGAGCAACGCCGGCUACGUGUAGCCGGACUGAGAGUACCUGAAGAAAAAGCAUCGGCUAACUACGUGCCAGCAGCCGCGGUAAUACGUAGGGUGCGAGCGUUAAUCGGAAUUACUGGGCGUAAAGGGUGUGCAGGCGGCUGAGUAAGACAGAUGUGAAAUCCCCGGGCUUAACCUGGGAACCGCAUAUGUGACUGCUUGGCUAGAGUGCGUCAGAGGGAGGUGGAAUUCCACGUGUAGCAGUGAAAUGCGUAGAUAUGUGGAAGAACACCGAUGGCGAAGGCAGCCUCCUGGGACGCAACUGACGCUCAUACACGAAAGCGUGGGGAGCAAACAGGAUUAGAUACCCCUGUAGUC
rnacentral:rRNA from 1 species